rnacentral:rRNA from 1 species
UACGAAGGGGGCUAGCGUUGUUCGGAAUCACUGGGCGUAAAGCGCACGUAGGCGGAUUGUUAAGUCGGGGGUGAAAUCCUGGAGCUCAACUCCAGAACUGCCUUCGAUACUGGCGAUCUCGAGUUCGGGAGAGGUGAGUGGAACCGCGAGUGUAGAGGUGAAAUUCGUAGAUAUUCGCAAGAACACCAGUGGCGAAGGCGGCUCACUGGCCCGAUACUGACGCUGAGGUGCGAAAGCGUGGGGAGCAAACAGG